AGAAAACGAAACACUGUGCAUCCACAAGUUACUCUUCAGUUUGCCAGCCUUCACAACAGACCACACCAAUGCUCACUUCCCUGAACUACACUGUUUUCCCCUACACUGGCCUAAUCCAAGACAAUUGGGCUUAAGCUUAUUGGCAAGCUGCAGUCCCUGGGAGAAGCCUGCACGUCUGCCACGAACACUAAAUACCGGCACGUUUCAUUUCUGUAUCUCACAAGCAGGUAAGGUGGCUGAAUUCAUGUUGACAAAUCAUUUCCAAAUGCCUCGCGAGGCAGAAGAAAUCUCCUCCAAAACAAGUUUCUUCCAGGCUGAAAGAAGAGUGUCAGGAGACAAAAGGUGUUUACUUUAUCAGAGAAGUCACAUUGCUAAACGCUAACCACAGUGACUUUAGACAGAAACCGCACACAAGCAGAUCUGGAGAAUGUCACAAUCUGUUAUUGCUAAGACGCCUCAACUCUGCUUUUGCAGAAGCCUGAAACAUCAGUAGUUUCUGUGCAGACUCAUAAUUGGAAUUAAUACAAAAAAAGGCAGCUCUGGAGUCGCUUUGAUACAUACACCCAGCUAUGAAUGCAAAUGAGAACUUACAAGGUUUCUACACCCUGUAACAGAAGGAAAUGGCUCUUUGGAGCGAAGGAGAAGAAAGCAACACAUUUCUGUGGACUUCACCAUUUACUGCCCACGUCCUCUGAACAAUGUGAAAUUUGCCUGGAAUUAGCAUAGCUUCCUUUUCCCCUUGUGCCAAUUCUUUAUUGUUCUGCUCCCAUAACAAAUGCCAAAUCCAAACUGUGACGGCACAGAAGGUGGAAAACCAUGAACUUAAGACGUGGAAGGAGUAAAAGCGAGUGGUGUUACCAGCGGAGCAUCGGAGUUUACAAAUUUAAGCCUAAAUUCUAGCUCUGUUCAUCCAAAUUGUAACAGGAGCAGCUGAUGUAAAAGAGCUGGGACCACACUAAGGCAAACGUGGCCCAGGAACCUGUCUCAGAAGCAGUGAGUAGCAGAUGUUAGGAAGCAUAUAAGGCCUUUCCUUACAGAGAGGGUUUUCAUAGCUUCAUUGUCUUGUUUUUGUGUGUCAGGGUGCCAUUCCGUAGUGCUCUCUUCAUCAGCAAAACUGCCUUGAGACGUCAUCCCCCCCCUAGCCGCUUGGUCCUAGUGCUGCGUCACAGCCACCACUGCCUCAGUGGGGCUGAUGCAUUAGUUUCAAAAGCCAUACCGUAAGCUGGAUCACUGGAGUUAAAAAAGAAGGUUAAGAAGAAAAGAGCAGUUUGCUGAUCUAGUUUAUAGGCCCGCAGAGAGACAGAGGCAUCAGCACAACCGAAGAGAUUGAACCGCGGGACUGCGACAGGGGUCUUUCACGCUCACUUUGCUGAUGGAGAAAAUAGGAGGGAACUAUACCUGCACCCCAAGGCUGGGAGGAGGGCGGGAGCUGCACCUGGCACACCGUAGCAUUUAAAACAGUUAUUCUCCCACUUUCCACCUCUCCCCAGCCAUCCACCCACGCAGCCUUGUGCGAACAACCUGCUGAAGUCCUGCUUCAUUGUGGUUCUUGCUUCAGCUUAGUAAAAGAGGAACACGUUUUUACUUUCUUCACACGUUAAUGACAAGAUCUGCAGCUAGAAAACAAAACAUUUGCACACGACAUCUCUGCUCAGUUGGGGUACAAUUCAGAGGCAUAAAUCCCUAUCCAUCAGUUAGGUAGCACAGUAAGCAAAUUUACUUUGUGCUAGAGACCCUCCCUGCAAUACAAGGGGAGUGACGCUGCGUUGUAAAAGUAUGUACGUAUCCCAGUUGGAUAAGCAGCUUGGCAAACAGCUGUGCUCUGACUGAAGUCAUGGGACGUGUCCUCAGAAACAUACCUAAACUCAUGUCUUGGGCAGAGGAAAGCUCUCCCUGGAGCUCGUGAGUUCCUCCAAGCCCUGAGAUGGGAGUGCAGCUCCAUUAUGCAUGGUUGCAGACACCGCAUUCCUGAUCUGACAUACCAAGAACAAUGGCCCAGAGCUCUUUACCUCCAAGGAAUUCAAAUAUAAUCAUCACUGCCAUCUAAAUGUGAGCACAGCGCUAAGCAACAUACAUUUUUUAGUUUGGUAUAUCCACUUCCUAACCUUGUUUCCUCUAGCCCUGUUCUCUUGCUGCUAGCUAUUUUCUAUCCAGCUGUAAAUGCUGGGAAAGCUGGCAUCCAGCACAACUAUAAA